rnacentral:rRNA from 1 species
AUUGAACGCUGGCGGCAGGCCUAACACAUGCAAGUCGGACGGUAGCACAGAGGAGCUUGCUCCUUGGGUGUCGAGUGGCGGACGGGUGAGUAAUGUCUGGGGAUCUGCCCGAUAGAGGGGGAUAACCACUGGAAACGGUGGCUAAUACCGCAUAACGUCGCAAGACCAAAGAGGGGGACCUUCGGGCCUCUCACUAUCGGAAGAACCCAGAUGGGAUUAGCUAGUAGGCGGGGUAAUGGCCCACCUAGGCGACGAUCCCUAGCUGGUCUGAGAGGAUGACCAGCCACACUGGAACUGAGACACGGUCCAGACUCCUACGGGAGGCAGCAGUGGGGAAUGUUGCACAAUGGGCGCAAGCCUGAUGCGGCCAUGCCGCGUGUAUGAAGAAGGCCUUCGGGUUGUAAAGUACUUUCAGCGGGGAGGAAGGCGGUGAGGUUAAUAACCUCGCCGAUUGACGUUACCCGCAGAAGAAGCACCGGCUAACUCCGUGCCAGCCGCCGCAGUAA